rnacentral:rRNA from 1 species
UACGUAGGGGGGCAAGCGUUGUCCGGAUUUAUUGGGCGUAAAGAGCGUUGUAGGCGGCCAGGUAGGUCUGCUGUGAAAACUCGAGGCUCAACCUCGAGACGUCGGUUGAAACCGUUUGGCUAGAGUCCGGAAGAGGAGAGUGGAAUUCCCGGUGUAGCGGUGAAAUGCGCAGAUAUCGGGGAAGAACACCCGUGGCGAAGGCGGCUCUCUGGGACGGUACUGACGCUGAGACGCGAAAAGCGUGGGGGAGCGAACAGGG